rnacentral:lncRNA from 1 species
UUUUUAUUUAUAUUUAUUUACAUAGACAAUCAUGUUGGAUUUUAUUUUUUAUUUUUAUUUGUAAAUACUAAAUUAAUUUUUAAUUUUAAUUUUAUUUUUAAUCGAUUCAGAUUUGAAAACAUAAGGCUAAAAUUUGUUUGUCAUGGAAAGAAUAUAACCCAUGAACCUCUAAGCAAGGUCAUAUAUGUUUUCAACACUAGACCAAC